GACGAACGCUGGCGUCGUGCCUAAUACAUGCAAGUAGAACGCUGAAGGAGGAGCUUGCUUCUCUGGAUGAGUUGCGAACGGGUGAGUAACGCGUAGGUAACCUGCCUGGUAGCGGGGGAUAACUAUUGGAAACGAUAGCUAAUACCGCAUAAGAGUAGAUGUUGCAUGACAUUUGCUUAAAAGGUGCAAUUGCAUCACUACCAGAUGGACCUGCGUUGUAUUAGCUAGUUGGUGGGGUAACGGCUCACCAAGGCGACGAUACAUAGCCGACCUGAGAGGGUGAUCGGCCACACUGGGACUGAGACACGGCCCAGACUCCUACGGGAGGCAGCAGUAGGGAAUCUUCGGCAAUGGACGGAAGUCUGACCGAGCAACGCCGCGUGAGUGAAGAAGGUUUUCGGAUCGUAAAGCUCUGUUGUAAGAGAAGAACGAGUGUGAGAGUGGAAAGUUCACACUGUGACGGUAUCUUACCAGAAAGGGACGGCUAACUACGUG
rnacentral:rRNA from 1 species